rnacentral:rRNA from 1 species
AUUGAACGCUGGCGGCAUGCCUUACACAUGCAAGUCGAACGGUAACGGGCCUUCGGGUGCCGACGAGUGGCGAACGGGUGAGUAAUACAUCGGAACGUGCCCGAUCGUGGGGGAUAACGAGGCGAAAGCUUUGCUAAUACCGCAUACGAUCUACGGAUGAAAGCAGGGGACCGCAAGGCCUUGCGCGGACGGAGCGGCCGAUGGCAGAUUAGGUAGUUGGUGGGAUAAAAGCUUACCAAGCCGACGAUCUGUAGCUGGUCUGAGAGGAUGAUCAGCCACACUUGGACUGAGACACGGCCCAGACUCCUACGGGAGGCAGCAGUGGGGAAUUUUGGGCAAUGGGCGCAAGCCUGAUCCAGCCAUGCCGCGUGCAGGAUGAAGGCCUUCGGGUUGUAAACUGCUUUUGUACGGAACGAAAAGCCUUCUUUUAAUACAGGAGGGUCAUGACGGUACCGUAAGAAUAAGCACCGGCUAACUACGUG